GUUUAGGAUACAUUUUGGUUACAAAUGUCUCCCCAUGGAGAUAUACCCUCUACCCAGAAAGGGAUAACAGGGCGAAGUAAGCAAGUGAACACACAAAAUAGAGUUCAGAUAUGAAGAUUCUAAUGUGAAUGCUACAAUUCGAUGAGAAAUCCGGCACCGUCGCUUGUCGCCGGCGUUCUUCAGCAGCAAAGAGGGACGACUGAGAAGAGUGUUG
rnacentral:misc_RNA from 1 species